rnacentral:rRNA from 1 species
CCUACGGGAUGCAGCAGUAGGGAAUCUUGCGCAAUGGGCGAAAGCCUGACGCAGCAACGCCGCGUGCGGGAUGAAGGCCUUCGGGUUGUAAACCGCUUUCAGCAGGGACGAAAAUGACGGUACCUGCAGAAGAAGCCCCGGCCAACUACGUGCCAGCAGCCGCGGUAACACGUAGGGGGCGAGCGUUGUCCGGAUUUAUUGGGCGUAAAGAGCUCGUAGGCGGUUUCGUAAGUCGGGUGUGAAAACCCCAGGCUCAACCUGGGGACGCCACCCGAUACUGCGAUGACUAGAGUCCGGUAGGGGAGUGUGGAAUUCCUGGUGUAGCGGUGAAAUGCGCAGAUAUCAGGAGGAACACCAACGGCGAAGGCAGCACUCUGGGCCGGAACUGACGCUGAGGAGCGAAAGCGUGGGUAGCGAACAGGAUUAGAUACCCCUGUAGUC